ensembl:lncRNA
GGGUCAGUCUCCGGGUCAGUCUCAGUCUCCGGGUCAGUCUCCGGGGUCAGUCUCUCCGGGUCAGUCUCUGGGUCAGUGUCAGUCUCAGUCUCUGGCUCAGUCUCCGGCUCAGUCUCCGGCUCAGUCUCCGGCUCAGUCUCCGGCUCGGGCUCAGUCUCGGGCUCAGUCUCGGGGUCAGUCUCCGGGCUCAUCUCCGGGUCAGUCUCCGGGUCAGUCUCCGGGCUCAGUCUCCGGGCUCAGUCUCCGGGUCAGUCUCAGGUCAGUCUCCGGGUCAGUCUCCGGGUCAGUCUCCGGGUCAGUCUCCGGGUCAGUCUCGGGUCAGGCUCAGUCUCAGUCUCUGGGUCAGGCUCAGUCUCCGGCUCAGUCUCCGGGUCAGUCUCCGGGUCAGUCUCCGGCUCAGGCUCAGUCUCCGGCUCAGUCUCCGGCUCAGUCUCCGGCUCAGUCUCGGUCUCCGGGUCAGUCUCCCCUGUCUGUCAGCCAGGCUUGGAGACCCUCUGUCCUCCAUGUCUCUGGUCUCCUAUGGGGCCCCUGGCCUGCUGCUCCUGGAGCCCCUGGGUGAUGUAGGCCUCCAGCAGCAGCAGCAGAGUGGGUAACAUGCUGUCCAGUAAGGCCAGGCCCUGCCACGAGCACCGCAGACCCCU